UUGAUUACGUGUUGAUUACAAGGCUUUGCAAGUGGAGAUGAAAACAUUAACAAAAGAGAAUUAUGAUCAUUUUCUUCUCCAAAACAAAACUUGUUUGGUUUCCUUCUUCAAAGAUUAAAAGUAACAUAGAGAUUCCUGCUCAACUUAUCAAAAUCAUAAUUCACUUAAAAUUUCCCAUAGUAAGAAGACAAAACACUUUAGAAAGAUACCAGGAGCAUCACGGCUACCGAAUUUCACAAAUAACUUUACAAAACCCUGUUCUACAUACCUGCAACUUCCACGAGAAUUCAGAAGAAAUCCACCACAAUCAGUUUGUGAUUCACUUCCUUUAGACUUUUAUAAAUUUAGUCCAACAAGACAUAGUAGACAUAGUUUUUUUUUACUAUGGUUGGAAACCAAAGUGAAAAUCAAAUGGAAAAUAUAAUCAGGGUCAAAUUCCCGAAUCCCUGAACACUUAUCUUUUAACAAUUUUUCCUUUCACAAUUGCAAUUACUAAUGAAAAAUUGAAUUUUAAACCUAUGCCCACAACCUCACCAUAUUGGAAUAGAAAAAAUGAAUGACCAAACAUAGUCAACAAAUUAAAUUGAAAGAAGCAUAGUUCUUAAAGAAAAAAACAAUUAAAAUCAGACUUUUUUAUUACCUUUAUCGAUUCCCGCUGCGUCAUCAAAGAGAAAGCCUAAUCGGUUAUCUUCCCUUAUAUUUCGGUGUAGUAAGGUUACAAAACAGCCCCUUGCACGGUAGAAUCAAGAUGAUGAAGAGAAAAUCUAGCAACUACGGCGGCCUCGA
rnacentral:lncRNA from 1 species